UCUCAUUCACACAACCUACUUCCUGUCCUAGCCCCAGAAUAUAAAAGUGAAUUCACUGGGGCUUUCAGAAACAGAGAAGGAAAAAUUGUUCUGGAAGGAACUGUCUGAGGGAU
ensembl:snoRNA SNORD22 Small nucleolar RNA SNORD22